GCGACGGUAGUCUAAUCUGGCUAGGACACUACCCUGCCACGGUGGAGAUCCGGGUUCGAAUCCCGGCCGUCGCA
rnacentral:tRNA from 1 species